rnacentral:lncRNA from 1 species
GACAAUAUAAAACAGAAAACGGAAAAAGAAACCAAACGCCACGGUGACCAGCAGGCACUUCCACCUGCCGAUAUCCAUCCCAGCCUGCUGCGCCAGCACGUCGGCGCGGUCACCACGCAGGUGUCCGCCGUCAAAGUGGUGCCGAGCGUACGCCUGAUUGGCGUCCAUCACCGACAUCUUCACGGCCUUCGACAACCCGACGAUCGGCGUGCCGUCGAACAUCUCGACGCCACGGGAGAAGCAGCACCGCCACCGGAGAGACCGACGGCGAAGAACGUGGUCGCCGCGAACGCCAGCGACAGGGACACCAGCGGCGGGAACGCGACGGCGGCGUUGUGGGCUGUCUCGAUCCCGGAUGUGGAUGUGGCGCUCCUGGACGAACACCGGCAGCGCGUCGGCGCAGACGUAGAACGUCGUCGACAUCGCCAUGGCGAAUUAAGAAGCCCAGCCGCUCCUGGACUCCCUUGGGCGUGUCGUCGAUCGAGGCGCCAGAAGAUGGUUGCCAGGAUGAACCCCGUCACCGUGAUCGUGCGGAGCCGCAUCACCAACAGCUCCGGCAUUCGCCUCGUGUUGGUGAACGCCCUCUUGAUCAGCACCCACACCUCCACGUACGGCGGGUUCGCGUACGUCGGCAUCGAUGAGGAAAGCGCCGAGCGAUGA